CGUUUUUAUUUUUAUUUUAAUUUACUUUUUUUCUUUUACAGUAGAUAAUUGAAAAGAUUUGUAAAUUCGGACAGCUGUCUCAACAUGCGGGAGAAUUGAUUAAGUGACUUGGUAACGACAAGAGACGAGUCGAUCAACUAUAGUGCUGCUCAUUUGCAAAUCUAAAAAUACAAGACUGCCUCAUACCAGUUUGAUUUUUGUUCUAAAAUGAAGAAAUUAUAUCAUUCAAUUUCAUUGAUUUGAGACUGCAAUGGUUAAAAUUAACUAUGUAGUUCGUUUACCUUACCUACAAAUUUUAUUCUUGACAAAAUUGCAUUUCGAAAUUCAAGAAUAAUAAAACUCUAAUUAACCGUUACCAAAAUUAAACGAAUCGAAACAAAAUUCAUCAUAAUAAAGUUCGUACUUUCUAUAAAUUUUGAAUUCAGAUUAACUAAUAACGUGUCGCAUACAAGUAUUGAUUAAACGAUAAGAUAAAAAUUGCUAUUGAUUCGCACAUCGGUCAUUUUUCAACAAAAUAUGAAUAAUUCAGUGCGAUCGUUGUUCAUCUACAUUUUUGGGUUAAUUCUAUUGGCUGGAUUAAUCGUUGGAAAUGAUGGCGCAAAAAAGCAGUGCUUGGCUAAAUGUGGAAAAAUUUGCGAUGAUAUGUGUACUGAUACUGAUGGUGGUAAAGUCAUCAAAAGCUGUGUAACUAAAUGUGGAAUAAUUUGUAAAAUUGUAUGUUCAGGAAAACCUCUCAAAAAACUUGCAGACAUUGAAUACCUGAAGUCCCACUUUCAUAUGUGAAUAAACAUGUUGAUCGAAA